GGUCAGGUAGCUCAGUUGGCUAGAGCACCGGUCUGAAAAACCGGGGGUCGGCGGUUCGAUUCCGCCCCUGACCACCA
rnacentral:tRNA from 1 species